CGUACAGUUAACUAGUCCAACGCUCUAACCAUUGCACUCCACGAGGAGCCUGCCUGUUAUGUGAAUGCAGUCGAAGCCAAGGACCUGAGCCCUAGGACCAUGUCCCAGGACUACCUGACAUGAGGACUCCUUGCUGUCCCCAGUCCACCUGGCCAUGCUCCUGCUCCAGUUUCAACUGACCUGAGCCCUAGGACCGUGCCCCAGGACUACCUGACAUGAAGGCUCCUUGCUGUCCCCAGUCCACCUGACUGUGCUGCUGCUCCAGUUUCAACUGUUCUGCCUUAUUAUUAUUCGACCAUGCUGGUCAUUUAUGAACAUUUGAACAUCUUGGUCAUGUUCUGUUAUAAUCUCUACCCGGCACAGCCAGAAGAGGACUGGCCACCCCACAUAGCCCGGUUCCUCUCUAGGUUUCUUCCUAGGUUUUGGCCUUUCUAGGGAGUUUUUCCUAGCCACUGUGCUUUUACACCUGCAUUGUUUGCUGUUUGGGGUUUUAGGCUGGGUUUCUGUACAGCACUUUGAGAUAUCAGCUGAUGUACGAAGGGCUAUAUAAAUAAAUUUGAUUUGAUUUGAUUUGAGGUAGCCUAGUGGUUACAGCGUGGUGCCAGUAACCGAAAGGUUGAUAGAUUGAAUACUGAGCUGACAAGGUAAAAAUCUGCCGUUCUGCCCCUGAACAAGGCAGUUCCUAGGCCGUCAUUGUAAAUAAGAAUUUGUUCUUAACUGAUUUGCCUGGUUACAUUUUUAAAAUUGUGGACAGCUUGAUGAAAACCAGUCAAUAUUCAGGUCCCCAAGAAAGUAGACCCCUCCGUUUUGUUGGAUUCUAGCUUAUUAGCUUAUUUGUACAAUUUUUGUAGAAUAAUAGCGAAGACAUCAAAACUAUGAAAUAACACCUAUAUUAACAAAUCAAAAUAUAUUUUAUAUUUGAGAUUCUUCAAAGUAGCCACCCUUUGCCUUGAUGACAGCUUUGCACCCUAAAUAUAGAUUUGAUUUGUUUAACACUUUUUGAUUCCAUGAUUCCAUAUGUGUUAUUUCAAUGUAGAAAAUAGUUUUAAAAAAUAAAGAAUAACCCUGGAAUUAG